rnacentral:rRNA from 1 species
GAUGAACGCUGGCGGCGUGCCUAAUACAUGCAAGUCGAGCGAACAGACGAGGAGCUUGCUCCUCUGACGUUAGCGGCGGACGGGUGAGUAACACGUGGAUAACCUACCUAUAAGACUGGGAUAACUUCGGGAAACCGGAGCUAAUACCGGAUAAUAUAUUGAACCGCAUGGUUCAAUAGUGAAAGACGGUUUUGCUGUCACUUAUAGAUGGAUUCGCGCCGCAUUAGCUAGUUGGUAAGGUAACGGCUUGCCAAGGCAACGAUGCGUAGCCGACCUGAGAGGGUGAUCGGCCACACUGGAACUGAGACACGGUCCAGACUCCUACGGGAGGCAGCAGUAGGGAAUCUUCCGCAAUGGGCGAAAGCUUGACGGAGCAACGCCGCGUGAGUGAUGAAGGUCUUCGGAUCGUAAAACUCUGUUAUUAGGGAAGAACAAAUGUGUAAGUAACUAUGCACGUCUUGACGGUACCUAAUCAGAAAGCCACGGCUAACUACGUG